rnacentral:lncRNA from 1 species
AGACAAUGAGGUUAAGGAAGUUGUUCAUUACAAGUGGAAGAACCCUGACUUACUUGAAUUCAACUUUGAAGCCCACAUUCUCUUUUUGUGUGUGUGUGACAGGGUCUCACUUUGUCACCCAGGCCGCAGUGCAGUGGUGUGAACACAGCUCAUUGCAGUCUCAACCUCCCUGACUCAAGCAAUCCUCCUGCCUUAGCCUCCUGAGUAGCUGGGACUACAAGCAUGUGCCACCACGCCCAGCCGAAGCCCAUAUGUGAAUGUUGAGGCACACAGCCUCCCCAGCCUCUGCCUCACCAAGCCCUCCGCAGGGCCUAGGCACCCUCCCUGGCUGCCCCCUUCCCCUGUCACUCAGGCUCCCCAGCAGCCAAUGUAGUUAACAUGGGGCUACAAAGAGCUGGGCCUGGCCUCAGGUGGGACCGCCUCCCCGGCAUUGCCAUCCCUGCUGCAGAGCUCCCAUGCGAUCAGCCUCCUCUCCAGCUGAGACCACAUCCUCACUCAGCUUCUAGGCUGUUCCUGCUCCCCAUUCCCCUCAGCACAUGGCCCCUGAGAAACUCCUUGCACAAGAAUUUCCCUCUGGAGCCCCACCUCUGGGGAACCUGACCUCAGACAGAGGAGACCAAGCUCUAGGGCAGGAUCCUCCACCUCCCUUGCCCCACCCGUGUGGCCAGCCCGGAGCGCUGCAGACUCCCGCCCAGAUCUGCACUUGUGCCUGCCUUCUGCCAGCCUGCUCCUCCUCCUCCCACUCUCACACCUGCAUUAACAGCACCAGGACUCCAUCCUCCAAGGGCCCCAGCCUCAUCUCCCCUGUCACCAGGAUCCAGCCAGAUCUCAAUCCUAACUGAACCUCCCUCAGAUCCGUCCACUUCCCCCUUCCCCAGGACCACACUCCAUCAUCUCUUGCCUGGACCCUGCGAGAACUUCCUGCCUCCCUGCCUCUAUCCUACCCCCUGCCCCCCGCUGAAGCUGAUGAUAGUUCCGGAAUGCAAAACCCCUUAAUGAUUCCCCCAUUGAUCAAAGUCUUCCACAUGCUUUCAAGGUCCUUGGUGAUCCGGGACCUGCCGCCUUCUGCAGUCUCCCUACUGAUGCCAUAGUUUUGGCUUCUGGCCUCAUAUGUCCUGGGUCAUUUCUCUGGUCACUGGCUCCUCGUUCCCCUGACUCAGCUGGCUCACUGCUUUCCCAUUGGAUCUCAAACCCUGUGUACCUGGGGAGAGCGGAACUCUGUAUGUCUUGUCUUGUGCUAGUAGGCACUCAGUGUGUAUGUGUGGAUAUUCAUAUAUAUAUAUAUUUGAGAUGGAGUUUUGCUCUUGUUGCCCAGGCUGGAGUGCAGUGGCACGAUCUCGGCUCACUGCAACCUCUGCCUCCAGGAUUCAAUUGAUUCUCCUGCCUCAGCCUCUCCAGUAGCUGGGAUUACAGGCGUGCACCACCACACCCGGCUAAUUUUUUGUAUUUUUAGUAGAGACGGGGUUUCAACAUGUUGGUCAGGCUGGUCUCAAACUCCUGACCUCAGGUGAUCCACCCACCUGUGCUUCCCGAAGUGCUAGGAUUACAGAUGAAAGCAAUCACGCCCGGCCUAUAUUCAUAUAUAUAUUGAGGGAAUGAAGUCACCUCUUCUAGGAAGCCUCCCCUUGCCCAAGAGCUUUGGGCCAACAUCUCUGAGCCCCUGCAGGCUUGAGGACUUCCUCUGCUGGGAUUCUGUGGAGCUGUGUCACCGUGGGUGUUGUCAUUGCCAGUCACUCUUCUGACUCAGCUGCCAGAAGAGUUCCUCGGCCCUGCCUCCAAAAUAUACACCCCGAAUCCAACUACUUCUGGCCACAUAUGCCACCCAUCCUUCUGCCACCAUCCCUCGUGUGGACUCCGCAGCCGUCUUCUGCCUGGUCUCAGGGCUCCUGCCUUCCAUUCUCCAUCAGGACCCAGAGGAAGCUUAAAACUGCAAGUCAAAGCCGGGCACGGUGG